rnacentral:rRNA from 1 species
CCCUUAGAUGUUCUGGGCCGCACACGCGCUACACUGAAGGAGGCAGCGUGUACUCCUGGAUCGAAAGAUUUGGGUAACCCGCGAAUCUCCUUCGUGCUAGGGAUUGAGGUUUGCAAUUAUCCUUCAUGAACGAGGAAUUCCCAGUAAGUGCAAGUCAUAAGCUUGCGCUGACUACGUCCCUGCCCUUUGUACACACCGCCCGUCGCUACUACCGAUUGAAUGAUUUAGUGAGGACUUCGGACUGGGGCCGAUGCGGCUUUCGGGCUGCGUCGGUAUUCUGGAAAGAUGUCCAAACUGUAUCAUUUAGAGGAAGUAAAAGUCGUANCA